CCUACGGGAGGCAGCAGUGAGGAAUAUUGGUCAAUGGCCGAAAGGCUGAACCAGCCAAGUCGCGUGAAGGAAGACGGAUCUAUGGUUUGUAAACUUCUUUUAUAGGGGAAUAAAGGUAUCCACGUGUGGAUGUUUGCAUGUACCCUAUGAAUAAGCAUCGGCUAACUCCGUGCCAGCAGCCGCGGUAAUACGGAGGAUGCGAGCGUUAUCCGGAUUUAUUGGGUUUAAAGGGUGCGUAGGCUGUUUUUUAAGUCAGCGGUGAAAGUUUGGGGCUCAACCAUAAAAUUGCCGUUGAAACUGGAAGACUUGAGUGUGUUUGAGGUAGGCGGAAUGCGUGGUGUAGCGGUGAAAUACAUAGAUAUCACGCAGAACUCCGAUUGCGAAGGCAGCUUACUAAGCCAUAACUGACGCUGAAGCACGAAAGCGUGGGGAUCAAACAGGAUUAGAUACCCUAGUAGUC
rnacentral:rRNA from 1 species